rnacentral:rRNA from 1 species
CACGAACGCUGGCGGCAGGCUUAACACAUGCAAGUCGAGCGCCCCGCAAGGGGAGCGGCAGACGGGUGAGUAACGCGUGGGAAUCUACCCAUCUCUACGGGAUAACGCAUGGAAACGUGUGCUAAUACCGUAUACGUCCUUCGGGAGAAAGAUUUAUCGGAGAUGGAUGAGCCCGCGUUGGAUUAGCUAGUUGGUGGGGUAAAGGCCUACCAAGGCGACGAUCCAUAGCUGGUCUGAGAGGAUGAUCAGCCACACUGGGACUGGGACACGGCCCGGACUCCUACGGGAGGCAGCAGUGGGGAAUAUUGGACAAUGGGCGCAGGCCUGAUCCAGCCAUGCCGGGUGAGUGAUGAAGGCCCUAGGGUUGUAAAGCUCUUUCACCGGUGAAGAUAAUGACGGUAACCGGAGAAGAAGCCCCGGCUAACUUCGUGCCAGCAGCCGCAGUAACAC